UUUGAGUAGAUUUCAAAAUAUUUUCACGUAAAUAUGAAACCUUGAGAGCGCUGGAUAACUGAUAAAUGAUAUAAAUGUAGAAGAGGAAUGGUUGUCCAUAUCCUGCUAUUGAUGUGGAUUUCCUCAUUGUUCUCAGUUUUGGAGUAUCGUGGGAUCGACAAAUCCCACUAAAAAUUAAUGUUGAUUUUUUCUGGGAAGGUUAUCAAACUAGCAAUGAUGUAUGAAGCUGAAGGUUGGCCAAUAAUGAAACAACACAUGAGCAAAAUUAGUGAAGUGAUGAGGAUGUUGAAAUGUAUACGUGGUAAAAUCAGAAAAGAUAAAACAAGGUAUAAACACAUUAGAGGUAAUUUAGGAGUAGCUUCACUAAGGGUUAAGUUGAGAGAGUUUUUUUUUGGUUAUUUGAGGUGACAUGGACACAUGCAAUGAAGGCCUCUAAAUGUGGUAAGGAACAGUGAUAUAGUUAGACUGGAGGAGCU